rnacentral:rRNA from 1 species
UACGAGGGGUGCAAGCGUUAUUCGGAAUCAUUGGGCGUAAAGGGUGCGUAGACGGUUAGUUAAGUCUGUUGUUUAAGCCUCCGGCUUAACCGGAGAAGGGCAAUAGAAACUGGCUGACUAGAGGGUGAGAGAGAGAAGUGGAAUUUCUGGAGUAGCGGUCAAAUGCGUAGAUCUCAGAAGGAACACCGAUGGCGAAGGCAGCUUCUUGGCUCAUACCUGACGUUGAUGCACGAAAGCGUGGGGAGCAAACAGG